rnacentral:lncRNA from 1 species
GAACCCCGAACAACCCAAACUGUUAAUCUUCAAUACUGCUUUGUACUUACGAUCUUGUAUCCACUGACUGUCUUGUUAGAUUAAUCCAAUAAAUUUCAUUCACUCCGCAUACUCAAUCCUAUAGACACCCUUUUAAUCCUUCAAUUACAGACAUAACUUGAUUUCACAAAACAGUCAAGAGUAUUCAAACCCACUUCAUUAAA